UACGUAGGGGUCGAGCGUUGUCCGGAGUUACUGGGCGUAAAGGGUGUGUAGGCGGUUGUUUUAAGUUUGGUGUGAAAUCUCCCGGCUCAACUGGGAGGGUGCGCCGAAUACUGAAUGACUUGGAGUGCGGGAGAGGAAAGUGGAAUUCCUGGUGUAGCGGUGAAAUGCGUAGAUAUCAGGAGGAACACCGGUGGUGUAGACGGCUUUCUGGACCGUAACUGACGCUGAGACACGAAAGCGUGGGUAGCAAACAGG
rnacentral:rRNA from 1 species